rnacentral:lncRNA from 1 species
AGGCAGUAGAAUCCAGGGUUUCCUUCUGUGUAGGGCAGAAGUUAUUUACAUUGUUUUCUCCUAUGCAUGUAUUAGUUUUAUUAUUAAAAACCACAAAGUUUUUGUUUUGUUUUGUUUUGUUUUUUAAUAGGAUACCAUGGCAGCUGCAUAGAAAACAUACUAAAGGAAAGUAUGAUUCAAGUCAGAGAAACCAGUUAGGAGGCUAUUGCAAUAAAAUCCAGGUGAGAUGCUGGGCGAGACUGUGCCUGAGUCUACCUCCUGGUGUACAGGAUGAGUAUUCCUUAUUCAAAACACUUGGGACCAGAACUGUUUUGGAUUUUGGAAUAUUUGCAUUAUACCUACUAGUUGAGCAUCACAAAUCUGAAAAUCCAAAAUUUUAAAUGCUCCAAUGAGCAUUUCUUUUGAAAGUCACAUCGGCGCACAAGGUUUCAGGUUUUGGAGCAUUCUGAAUUUCAGAUUUUCAGAUUUGAGAUGCUCAAUCUGUUCCAAGAUCACUGGGCCAAAAUUAGAGUGUAAAUUCCAGUCCUAACCAAGCAAAGUACAAUCCCUUGCUGAGUACUCCUUAAGAUGAUCUCACCCAAGGACCACAUGCAGUUGGGACGAUUUUCUUGAGACGGAGUCUUGCUCUGUCACCUAGGCCGGAAUGCAGUGGUGCGAUCUCGGCUUACCACAACCUCUGCCUCCCGGGUUCACAGCAUUCUCCUGCCUCAGCCUCCCGAGUAGCUGGUACUACAGGCGCCCACCACCACACUUGGCUAAUUUUUUGUAUUUUUAGUAGAGACGAGGUUUCAUCAUGUUAGCCAGGAUGGUCUCAAUCUCCUGACCUCGUGAUCCGCCUGCCUCGGCCUCCCAAAGUGCUGGGAUUAGAAGCGUGAGCCACUGCACCCGGCCAGUUGGGACCAUUUUCUAACUACUGAUGGCUAGUGCUAUACCCACCAGGGCUGCUAACACCUGAAACCACUUGGUUUCACAGCAUGACUGCAGGCUCUCCUUUCCAAGCUACAAAUGAAUCCCAGUAGACCUAAAUACCCAUCAUCUUCUUACAGACUGCUGGGAUUUAACCUAUACUCCCUCUAAAUUUUGUUUUCACUGGUCAUAGCCCCUGAUCUGGUCUUUUUUCCUCUAUCAAUAAUGUCAUUACAAUCUUCUGUAUUCCUCAGGCCAAAGCCAGAAACCCUAAACCCCUGCCCUUCUGGAGACUCUUUCAUGGUGCCCUCUGAGAUUCCCUUAAUAAACUCCCUUAAUAUCCUCAACUAUUUCCCUGAACAUUUCCUUUCAUUAAUUUAAACUUGGCUGUUCCCUGGGAAGGAAAAAACACCUACCUGACAACAAUCACAUCACAAGGGGGCUUAUUCUCAUGUAUUCCACAUAUCCACAGGUUGGAAGUGGGAUCAGUAUCUUCCUUACUCCCUAACACUGCUUCUAACCAUUGCAGCCUGGAGAAAACCACUCCUUCCUUUGAAGUUCAUACCAUCUAGUUAUACCACUUUCUCCCUCUCUUCCUUGCUAUCUUUUAUUUAAAUGACCUCUCCUCAAUCACAUAGACUUUGCUACUUGCUUUGCUGUCUUCUCCACUGAUGGCUCUAUUGAUAACUUGGAAGGACUUUCAAAUACAUAGAGAUCUUCUUCACUAAAACCUCCUUGCAGAAUUUCAUCCACCUUCCUCUUAGCAGAUAAUCUUACCAUGAAACCUAUAAUCAUAUAUCUAUAUUUUACUGGCCAGGAACAGUAGAAAUGGCAUCAAGGCUACAAAGAGGUUGGGAUAAGUAGUUUUGUAGCUAAAUACAAUACUACUGUUAGCAAAACUGAAGAUCUAUUCAUAAAGAAUAAAAAAUAUAUAUAUUUGGUUAGUAAUUAGCAGUGGCUGCCACACAGUUCUUAGGAAACACAAAACAUUAUAUAGUUCACAUAUUCUGAUCACUGCUUAGUACAGUUAGGUGUAAAUAAAUAAACAAGUAAUUUAAACCAACCCACCCAUUUUUCUACUCCUGAAAGAAUGGUGGGAGUAUCCCUCCGCCUCAUGGCAAACACCAAUACUUUUGUUUGUGCUCUAAACAUCUACACCCCAUUCUCAGAAGCUUAUAUUAAACUUUAUUAUGCUGCAUAUUAAACCUCACCAUACUACAUUCAUCACAUUAGAAUUCAAACAUGUUCUAGUUUUUCAUAUUUUAAACAUAUUAUCUCUUUACUCCAAAUCUCUCCAGCUACUACCCUUUCUCCUAUUAUUCAAACUUGUCUACAUCCAGUCUUUACUUCUUUGCCCUUUAUUGAUUCCUAAAGUCAGCCCAAUCUAGCAACCAUCUUCAUUAUGUACCACUAUGUUAUUUCCAACUACAAUCACAAAUGAUCUUCACUUGGCUGUAUAUGUUUACCUUUUUAGACUUCAUCUAAUUGGAUCCCUAAGUAACACUAAAAACAUUUACCUUCACCUUCCUUUUUUUUUUUUUUUUUUUGAGAUGAAGUCCUGCUCUGUCACCAGGCUGGAGUGCAGUGGUGAGAUCUCAUCUCACUGCAACCUCUGCCUCCCAGGUUCAAGUGAUUCUUCUGCCUCAGCUCCUGAGUAGCUGGGACUACAGGCAUGUGCCACCACACCCGGCUAAUUUUUGUAUUUUAGUAGAACCAGGGUUUCACCAUGUUGGCCAGGAUGGUCUCGAUCUGACCUUGUGAUCCGCCUGCCUCAGCCUCUCAAAGUGCCAGGAUUACAGGCGUGAACCACCACACCUGGCCAACUUCACCUUCCUUUUUGAAACUUGUUUGUCUUGGUUCAGUGAAACUCCACUCUUCUUGUUUUCCUCUUAUCUCUCUACUAUAGUUCCUUUAAAUGUAUGUCUUCAGGGUAGGUGGCAGACCUUCCCUUUUCAUUCUUACUCACCUUCCAAAGCCUGUUAUUGUCUCUUUACUGAUGUCACUACAAUUUAUAUCUCUAUCUAGACACCUCCUCAAUUCUAGAAUUGCGUACCAACCUCUUCAUCUGGAUGUCUCACCAUCCUCUGAGGCUAACAUGAAUAACUACAACAGCAGCUACUGCCUUCUUUCUUCCACCGUAUGCCACUCCUUCCAUAUUUUGUUAGAACUAAUCUGGUCAGUAUCUGGUUUCUCUCUCAGUAUGAAUUCUCUUGUGUAUAAUAAGUGAAGAGCUCUGACUGAAGGCUUUUCCACAUUGAAUACAUUCAUAGGGUUUCUCUCCAGUGUGAAUUCUCACAUGCCUCCUAAGGGAAGAGGAAACACUGAAGGCUUUCCUACAUUCCUUACAUUCAUAGGGUUUCUCUCCAGUGUGAGUUCUUAUAUGCAUUCUAAGGGAUGAGACCCCACUGAAAACUUUCCCACAGUCACUGCAUUCAUAAACAUUCUCUCCGGUAUGAAUUUUCUUAUGAACUUUAAGGUGAGAGCUCGUGUUGAAGGCUUUUCCACACUCACUGCAUUCAUAGAGUUUUUCUCCAGUGUGUAUUCUCUUGUGCACUAUAAGGUAAGAGCUUGUGCCAAAGGAUUUUCCACACUGAUUACAUUCAUAAGGUUUCUCUCCAGUGUGAGUUCUCAUGUGAGCCUUAAGGGAUGUUUUUUGACUGAAAGCUUUUCCACAUUGAUUACAUUCAUAGGGUUUCUCUCCAGUGUGAGUUCUUACAUGUCUCCUUAAGGUUGAGGAAUCAUUGAACACUUUACCACAUUCUUUACAUUCAUAUUGUUUCUCACCCAUGUGACUUUUCUUGUAUAAAGUAAGAUUAGAAAUCCUUUUGAAGGCUUUUCCACAUUGAUUGCAUUCAUGUUUCUUUUCAGUAUGAGUUUGUCCUUGUUUCUUAAGGGAUGAUUGAUGACACAGCGUUUCAUCUUUAUUACAUUCACAGGCAUUCUGUGCCAUAUGCAAAUUGUUAGGUACAGGAAACAUAUUAUGUGUGAAGUGCAUUCCAUGUUUAGAAUAUGUGUACUCUUUUUGUACUGUUUGAUUUCUCUGAAAAUGCCAUAGAGUUGUAUCACAUUCAUGACUUUCAUAGAGCUUCUCACUUAUAGAGUUUUUCACAUAAUUGUUUAUGAUUGAAUUGUGUUUCAAACAUCCAAUCUCUGAGUAACAUUUUUGGCAAUGUUUACUGGUGAAAAUGCUCUGUGAAAAAAUAAGUUUUGAUCCAAGUUUAGAGUUUUCCUCUAAUUCAUGAUAGUCACGGAAUAGCUCCUGAGGUACUGUUUUCUUUGGGGCAUAUAUCAUUUGCCUCCAAUGUCCCCCUGGAAUCUUAUGCUGUUUUCUGAUCUUAUGGCAUUCCCAGUCUUCUCUUAAUGUGGAGGACCAAUUAUGCAUUGUGAGUUUUAUCAUUUUCACUGCAUUGGAUGGUUCCUCCCACAAAAUUUUCUGCACAGUUGAUUCUUUGGUUUUAGGUUGAAUCUUCUGGUCUGGACAGAUGGCUUGGGGAAUUCUCUUUUUCAUAUUCCUUAUCUCUUCUUGAUCCAAUGGGGAGAUCACAGUAAGCCUGUACAACUGAUAUUCCACGGAGGUGAGAUUUCUAUAGUUUUCCAACAUCACAUCUCUGUACAGACUUCUUUGAGCAGAAUCCAGCAUCAUCCACUCCUCCUGAGUGAACUCCACAGCUACAUCUUUGAAAGUCAUUGGUUCCUGUAACCAGGUUGUCAGAAAUACAGCAAUCAUCCUUUCCUCUUCAGCAUUUCUCAGAUGGAAACAGGCAGAGUCCUGUUUAGUUAAAGCCCAUGGGGAGGAUAGGUCCAUAACUGCCAUUUUAUGAGUACAUAAGCCUGCACAGUAGAGUAGAGAGAUCAGGAUGUUUCUGUUCUUGUGUCUCCAAUCCAGUCACAGGAGGGAUGCAUUUCACCCGAAGUUCUCCCUGUAGCCAAAGAAGCAAGUUCAGGUAAAAGAAGAAAGCUG